GUCUACGACCAUACCACCCUGAACACGCUGGAUCUCGUCUGAUCUCAGAAGCUAAGCAGGGUCGGGCCUGGUUAGUACUUGGAUGGGAGAAAAAGUUCCAUCCUCUGAAGGGAGGAUGAACAAC
rnacentral:rRNA from 1 species